rnacentral:lncRNA from 1 species
CCCCGGCUCUGCUGAUUGUGAGAUGGUAACUUCUCCUAUUUUGUUCUUCUUUAUCAAUCAUGUGAUUUGUAUUAAUCAUUUCGUUGUUCUUGAAGUUGGGAUCGCUCUCAAAUGGUUCUUUAACUUGCAAGAGUUGCUCCUCCUAUGAUGCAGCAUAGCUAGGAGUUGAAUUCUUCUUUCUAUCUAAGGAAGAAUACUCUUUGAGUCCCAUAAUUUUCUGCUUUGUUUUGACAUGCAUUUUUCUUUGCAAGUGAGGAAUAAUUGGCCAAUAUGAUCUGCUUAAUGUCCUGGGAAAACAAAAGAAGGAAGGUUUGUUUGCAUGUAAUUUUCUCUGUCACUCCACUAUAACAUUGAUUGAGUAUUUAGCUUGAUUAUUUUUUUUUACGUAUGCGACUCAUUUUUCUGCAUUAUGGUGUUUUCUCCUUAGAUAAUUAGUUUACCUGUGUUCAUGGAGUUUCCCCUAUUGUGUUUUGUAUUAUUUAGAUAAUAGCAUAGGAAGCCAGUCAAAAUCUAUGCAGCCGGUGUGCUUGUGAACUACAUUUCUCUUCCUCUGGUUAGAGCAGUAAGGUUUCGACUCUCUCUGAUGAUGACCUUUGUUAUUGGAGUCACCGCAAAAGUAAAAUGUUCCUUCUUUCUAGGAGCUUCCAUAUGAUCGACUUAUAAAAGAGUCUAGAGCGCCAUAACAGUGCGUGAAAAAAUCUUCUCAUACAUGAGCACAUGUGUGCGAUGAGUAUUAGCUCUUACACUUGAAUCAUUGUGUUAUGAGUAGAGAGAUCAUUGUUCUUUCAACUAC